UCAUGGAAAUAAUGUCCUUAGAGGAGGACUUCAUGCCAAAACCCAGGAGCAGACAGAUUUCUGAGAAAGAUCUUGAUCAUCAAUAACUCCUGCUAAUUCAGUGGAAAUCACAAUCAGGUUGGCAAGCACUAUGAAUCAUCUCUUCUGAUCCCUGCAUGCUUUUGUAGAAGAAAUUGGAAAGGCAACAUCCACGAGGAAAUACAUGAAGAUCUAACCUGGCCUGUGUGAAAAUAUUCAUGUCAUAAUCCAGACAAGAAACAAAUGUGCCAUGUCAGACGAAUCCACCUUUCUCUCUUUGCAUCUCAUGGAAGACUUUGAAAUUUCGGGACAAAAUUGCCUUCUCUUAUUCAAAACUGAACAAAGCAGUGAAGAAAGUAAGUUCAAGUGACUGGUCCAAAAUUACACAACCACACUGAUGCUCAGCUAGCAACGGGGACUUCCUUCAUCCAGUGCGGCACACCAUCGCUUUACAUCACUCAGCUUGCAGUGAG